AUAACAUAUAAUAAUAUCAGGGAAUAUAAAAUAUAUAUGGUCCAUUGUGUAAACUUAUGAUUGCAAGAUUGAAAAGAAGAGAGACAACAUACAUAUAUAUGGCUAAGAAUAAUAUUGUUCAUGCAAUUGCAAUGUUAAUUGUUGGAGCAAUUAUUUGUUCUACCAUUAUUACUAAAUUUCAUGAUGAAACCACCUCUAAAGAAUCUUGGACUACAUCUUAUAACGUUGUACUUAGCCUAGACGGUUGUAUCAGGAAAUGCAAGGCAAGCUUUAAACGUAGAACAAUAGAGAGAAUAGAAUGCAUUAAGGGAUGUGUUGUUGUGGAAUGCCAAAGACGUCAUCCGAUCCGUAAAAAGAAGAGGAGUGUAUGUUUUGACUCUCUUUAUAAACUAAUUAUGAGUAAUUAAUUGUGAGCAACACAAUUGAGGUAGAACAAGAAAUAAAGUUCAUUAAACAUUUAAACGUGAAGAAGAAAUACAAGCAAGAAGGAAAAAAAAUAAACAAAUUUAUCAAACCAAAAGAAAAAGGACGUCGAAGAUAAUCAGUUCUUUGUGCCAUGGGACUGUUUAAUUUUGUAGUUUGUGUGUGGGUUUUGCCAUUUUUAUGUACAAAAUAUAUUAGUAUUAUAUCAAAAAUAAUAUUUUUGGCAAGUUGUUAUUAAACUCUUCUACAAGUAUAAGUUGGAAUGAUUUUGGAAGUAGUUAUGUAUUCAGAGUUUCAAGGGCAAAUUGGAAUCUUAGUUAGGUACUCUAUUGAAGUCAUAAUUGUAUAAGUGUAAUAAAUCCAUCAGAAACAAUUAUUGGCAGUUAUUAGAUAGAA